AGGAGAGUUGGUAACACAGGAGCCCACCCAAGAAAUGGAGAUGGAGAGUGAAACAGAGUCUAAAGGGGAGGGAGCCACAAGAGAAGGAGUCAACCAUUGCAGGAUUUAAAGCACGGAAUAGAUAGCCUCCACUGAAGUGGAGUCAGGAGGAGGGAAGGGAACGGAUGUAGAAGUAUUGUUGGACCAGGAAACAGAGCAGCCUGUUUAGUAGCAGAUUUGAUGUACUGACAUACAGAGACACAAAGACAUUUUGGAGUCUGUGGGAAUACAAGAAAAACUGUUCAGAGCAGCAGCUGUGGAGCAAGAUAAACAGCAUGAGAACCAAGGACACCUCUAGAAGAAGAAAGAAUGGCUCACAGCUCUGAUUGGGUAAGCACCCACAUGAACGGUUGAAGAGCGUUUGUAGAAUGCUCUGUUGACAUGUAAAGGUGGAUGGGAAAGCUAGAAAAAGAAAACUUGUGAAGGUAUAUAAGUAAUGUGAGAACUUGUAAUAAACGAUUUGGAUCGUUCACAUCUGAGUCUGUGCAUCAGACGCUGCAGGAGUCCAGGUCUCAAGGGAUUCAGUGAUCCUUAAACUCCUAAAGUCUUUCUGAGCCUCAGUCCUACAUCAAAUAUAAUGUAAUACAUUUGAUGUUUAAUUUUUUCCAGUCUUAAUAUUUAAAUUACAGAAAUGAGUACUUGCAAGAGUGACAACUUGAAAAUAAUUGUGGCUUUCUUUUUAACAAUAAUGGAAAAACAUAACAAAUGAAAUUUAGAAAUUUAUAUGGUUUAAAGAAUUCCAAAAUCAAGGCUUUACAGCCUUUGUUAGUCUGACAUAUUGUGCAACUACCUUAAAUACAUACAGAACCUUAACUGUCAACAUUUAAGCCCGAUAGUUUUCCCCACCUCUAUCAAUAAUUCCCCAUAUUUCACGACCCACAGGUAAUGGAUGAGAUACUCCAGCUCCUGACAGCUGAGCACCUCUGGCUGUUUGCUCCUUUGAACUUCGUUUCUAAUUCAUCAGCUUAUUUCUUUUGUCCCAGAGCUUUGUUUGAGCUUCUUAACAGAUUUACAUAGGGUAAUUCAUUUUCUUCUGCUCAUUUGCAAAAUAAAGAAUCACCUAACUGAGUGUCAAAUGGCUCUUGCUAAACAUCUGUUGCCUACAGACUUCUAGUUGAGUAUCCUGUGAGUUAUUCUGUCUUUAAUUUUCAUUUUUGUUUAAGCUUCAGGAUGGAUGUUGGCUUUGAUGUUACCUCCACGCAGGUAUUUUCUUACAAGAAUACCUUGUUUUCUAUGUGUCAUAUUCAGAAACAAACUUGGAUAUAUUCUCUCUGUUAUUUGUGAUCAUGCAUGCAGACCCUGGAACUGCACCCCAGAUGUUUGGGUAAUGCUGGCUCAUAGUCUUCAGCCUCCCUAGAUGCAGAGAGCUAACAGGUGCUUCAGCAAAUCUGUACCUAAAGCACUUUGAUUCAGAAACCUUCAGUACUUGCAUCAUUACCUUCAGCUACUGGGAGCCAAAAGGAUGCAGCAACUAAAAAGAGGAUUGCGUGGUUUCUUCUGGGAGUCUGUAGUCAGCUGCUGUGGUACAGUUAAGCACAGGAGGAGUUAGUUGAGCCAAGUUAUCUAUUUCAGCAGUCUCAAAAUCUUAUUACAGGUGUAGCUCUCAGUAGUUUACAGCCCAAGAAAGACUUCGAUGGGGGGCUAAUGGAUUGCAGACACUGAGUCAUGUGGGGGGCUGGUCCCCAAGCAAAAUGGCAGAAACAUUUCAACACAUUAAAUCUUCAGAUCUCAUUAUAUCGGUACUUCACAACAAAAAUGUAUCUGAUAAAUGAUGUGCAUCUGCACAAAAGUUGAAUUAAGAGAUAUGAAUGUUUGCAUUUCCUAUUUAUUUUUAUGAUACAAUCACAAGGUUCUGUUUAGAAUAGUUAAUCUUCACUUUUUAAAGAUUCUCAUUGUAAUUCAAGUCUCCUAACUACAUAAAUUUUCAGAAGUAAUGAAGAUCCAAUCCUAAUACUAGUUCCAUGAGAUAGUAACUUUUGCUGUCUCAAAAGAGCUCUGUAUUAUUUCUUUCAUCUAAAAUUGGCCUGCGAAUAUUGAAAAGCAGUAGAUUGUUACAACUCUAUUACCAGUGAACCAGUGUGCUCCGUUACUAUCAGUAUGCUCUCCAUCACACCAAUGCAGUUGACCAUCUGAAGUCAAGAUGUCACCAGUGUCUGAGACAGUCCAACUUUCCUGACCCUCACUACGUACUUACAUACUCUCCUCUGCUUCGACUGAGCAAAAUUCUGCUCUCUUUUGUUGCUGCACCAGCACAGGCCAGACUGACCCUACUUUUCACCUCCACCUUAGCUUACUUAAUGCUAUCUGUGAUAAAAUAAGUAGCACUAACAACCAAACCAAACAAUGAUGGAAAAUCAGUCUUUACUCCAAUAGCUGAACUAUUUUCCUAUUCUUAAGAAAUAAUGAUAAAAAUUACCUUUUGACAAGAAGUGGGCUUUGAUGCUUUUGGCACAAAAGAUGAAAGUUUCGGUGAGCAUAAGCCCCUAGAAACACAAGCCUGGAAUAAACAUUUUGUGCUAUUAUCAGUAUUUGUAAUUAGUUAUUUUGCAAUCACAUAUAAACCUGUCAAGUACCACAACACCAAAGACCCAGGCUUAUUAUUGCUAUCUUCUAAGACUUGUGCACCUAGUUUUCCUCUCUUCUGUACUCCAUGUGCACAUUAGUGACAUCAUAGGAGUCAAACGUAACUUACACACUGCACUAAUUUCUGGUUUCCUAAUGAAAAAUAACUUUUUUUCCCUAUUCAAACUUCAUCUUAUAUGGGACUACUGGCUACUAGUAUGUUCUGUCUGCUUUGCUCUUGCGAUUUCUUGUUGCCUAUUUUCAAGCUCAGGAAGGCAGUCUGUUUUGAGAAAUAGAAUAAAGCUAUAUGUUCAUAACUCAUCUAUUUUCUUCAGAUUCUCCAAUAAAAGUUUUAUAGCUUUGUAGUAAACAAAGAUAGGAGAAUUCAACUCUAAACAUUUUUCUGACAGUUUUCAGAUAAUCAGUGGGUGAUACUAAUGAAAUUUGACAGACUCUCUAACAAUGUCGUGUUAACGUAUCUUUCUAAUUUGUUCAAGAAUAUGGUUUGACUGAGGGAUUAAGAUCUGAACAAAUUCCUUUGGAUUUUUGUGUUGGUAUAUGUUUUUCUGUAUCACUGUUACUUCUCCAAUCUAGGAUGAAAAAUGUCCUUUAUACUCUAGUUUAUUAUCUAAACUGCUUGGAUCUAACUGUUUAUUUUCAUGCUUGUGGAAUAAUGUAAUGUUCCUUAAUG
rnacentral:lncRNA from 7 species